AUGCUGAUACACAAAGGUGAAAGGGCUACUCUGGAGGCAGUCUACAAUAUCGGACGUGAUUAUUCUGACUUGGGAUUCAGUCAGGUGGGACGCAAGCUUCUGCGCCUCAAUUAUGUUUUUUACAGCUUCACGUAAAUUCAAGUAAAGAUUUUUCUUUCCUUGGAUACAUAAUUCUCAUCUCCUCUGAGUGUGCUCAAAUUUAUAGAGCACUCAAAUUUAAAUGAUUUACCAAAACAAACAAACAAAAACAAAACAAUAAGCCUACAAAUACAUUUGAAAUCCUCAGAACCAACUACACUGGUUAGUCAGUUAAUACCAAACAGAUGUCCAAUGAUAGUUAAGGGUACUGGUUGAAGCUUUUUAGAAGGGCUGAAAGUGCUUUAAGAUACAGUUUACGUGAGUGAUUUUUCUUUCCGUUUCGUGCGAGAUCCAUCAGAAGUUGACGCAGAAAAGUCCACUGUCGUGAUUAAGAGUUCCUACAUCGUUUUCAGCAGGAAGAAAUACGUCAGAAGCCCAUUCUUCCUCUGAGGUUACACAAUAUUAAGGUUCUUACAUCAUUAGUGUUGACGUUCUACCACGGAGAUCUCUGUAAACCUACUGUUUAUUUCUAUUUCGCUCCUGUAAAGAAAGAGAAAAGAGACAAAAUUAGAUGAUUAAUUAGAACAUGAAGCCAUUCAAAUUUUACUAAGUUAGUUUGUUUUAACUAACAGAAAUGAAAGUGUCUUUAAAAACCUUUGCGGUAUGUUUGUUGCUCAUUAAAUCAAUAUAAUCUUUUCAACACUUCAAAAUGCUCUAGAAUCUUUUCUGCUUGUGAUUUGACUCGUUUAGGGAUUAACUGAUUUUAAAAAUCUACCAAUUAGCUGAUCAUAAUUGUCAUGAAAUAUAUAUAUCAAAUGCCAUUUUGUUUCAAUAAUAUAAAAGAAAACCAACAUUUUAUUUUUUACGCUAACAGAACAUUAUAAUGUUGUGAUACCUAAAUUCACUGUAUGAAAAAUGCAUAUUAAUUUUGAAUUCUGACAGAGAUUAUUCAGUAAUAUUAAAUUAUAAUAUAAUAUUACCUAAUAAUAAUUACUACGUUCUAUGUACAUUUUCUAAUCCAUAGAUUUCUAAUCUAUCUAUCAUCUGACUAUUUCUAUAUAAUUUCUAAUCUAUCCUAGCGACAUGCUAAUCAUGUUAGAAACAUACUUACAACAUGCUAGUAUCAUGCUAAUCAUAGCAACAUGCUAUUAAAAUGCUACUCAUGCAAGAAAAAUGCUAGCAACCUGCUACUAACUUGCUAAUCAUGCUAAGUAGCAUGCUAAUCAUUCUAACAUGUUAAUCAUGCUAGAAACAUGCUAGUGACAUGUUAGUACUUGCUAAUCAUGCUAGCAACAUGCUAGUUACUUGCAAAUCAUGCUAGCAACAUGCUAGCAACAUGCUAGUAACAUUCUAAUCAUGCUAGAAAAAUCCAAGCGACAUGUUAAUAACGCUAAUCAUGUUAGAAACAUGCUGGUCACUUGCUAAUUAUGCUAGCAACAUGCUAGUAACAUGCUAAUCAGGCUAGAAACAUGCUAGUAGCUAUUUAAUCAUGCUAGAGACAUGCUAGUCACUUGCUAGUCAUGCUAACAACAUGCUAGUUACUUGUUAAUCAUGCUAGCAACAUGGCAGUAGCAUGCUAAUCAUGUUACCAACAUGCUAAUCAUAAUAGCAACAUGCUAGAAACAUGCUAGUUACUUGCUAAUCAUGCUAGCAGCAUGCUAAUCAUGCCACCAAUAUGUUAGUAACAGGCCAAUCAUGCUAAAAACAUGCUAAUCAUGCUAGAAACAUGUUAUCAACAUCUAAUCUAUAAAAAUUGUCAAACUUCAGGCUUUUACAACUGCUUUAAACUUUCAGGAUAGGCUUUCUUAAGCCAACCCAAAGUUUGUCUUGAACUUUUUUUUAUCUAGUUGAUAUAUUAUUAUACAUGUUGUGGGUCACCAAGUAAGCUAUUUUAACAAUCGUUCCGAGAUGAAAAUGUUUCAAAUGUUAGUUUGCUGAAGAUGCAGGUCCAACAAGCUUGCAAUACUGAUGCAUGUAACAGUAAAAAUGAUUCUGCGUAUCUGAAGUAUCAGAACUGCUGACACAGCCAGUGGUUUCCAAACGGUAUGAGGCUGA
rnacentral:lncRNA from 1 species